AGAUUGAACGCUGGCGGCAGGCCUAACACAUGCAAGUCGAGCGGUAGAGAGGUGCUUGCACCUCUUGAGAGCGGCGGACGGGUGAGUAAUGCCUAGGAAUCUGCCUAGUGGUGGGGGAUAACGUUCGGAAACGGACGCUAAUACCGCAUACGUCCUACGGGAGAAAGCGGGGGACCUUCGGGCCUCGCGCCAUUAGAUGAGCCUAGGUCGGAUUAGCUAGUUGGUGAGGUAAUGGCUCACCAAGGCGACGAUCCGUAGCUGGUCUGAGAGGAUGAUCAGUCACACUGGAACUGAGGCACGGUCCAGACUCCUACGGGNGCAGCAGUGGGGAAUAGUU
rnacentral:rRNA from 1 species